CCUACGGGUGGCUGCAGUGGGGAAUAUUGGACAAUGGGGGCAACCCUGAUCCAGCCAUGCCGCGUGUGUGAAGAAGGCCCUCGGGUUGUAAAGCACUUUCAGUGAGGAAGAACGCCUGGUGGUUAAUACCCAUCAGGAAAGACAUCACUCACAGAAGAAGCACCGGCUAACUCCGUGCCAGCAGCCGCGGUAAUACGGAGGGUGCGAGCGUUAAUCGGAAUUACUGGGCGUAAAGCGCGCGUAGGUGGCUUGAUAAGCCGGUUGUGAAAGCCCCGGGCUCAACCUGGGAACGGCAUCCGGAACUGUCAAGCUAGAGUGCAGGAGAGGAAGGUAGAAUUCCCGGUGUAGCGGUGAAAUGCGUAGAGAUCGGGAGGAAUACCAGUGGCGAAGGCGGCCUUCUGGACUGACACUGACACUGAGGUGCGAAAGCGUGGGUAGCAAACAGGAUUAGAUACCUUGGUAGUC
rnacentral:rRNA from 1 species